rnacentral:rRNA from 1 species
AUUGAACGCUGGCGGCAGGCCUAACACAUGCAAGUCGAGCGGAUGAAGGGAGCUUGCUCCUGGAUUCAGCGGCGGACGGGUGAGUAAUGCCUAGGAAUCUGCCUGGUAGUGGGGGAUAACGUCCGGAAACGGGCGCUAAUACCGCAUACGUCCUGAGGGAGAAAGUGGGGGAUCUUCGGACCUCACGCUAUCAGAUGAGCCUAGGUCGGAUUAGCUAGUUGGUGGGGUAAAGGCCUACCAAGGCGACGAUCCGUAACUGGUCUGAGAGGAUGAUCAGUCACACUGGAAAUGAGACAAGGGCCAGAAUCCUAAGGGAGGGAGCAGUGGGGAAUAUUGGACAAUGGGCGAAAGCCUGAUCCAGCCAUGCCGCGUGUGUGAAGAAGGUCUUCGGAUUGUAAAGCACUUUAAGUUGGGAGGAAGGGCAGUAAGUUAAUACCUUGCUGUUUUGACGUUACCAACAGAAUAGGCACCGGCUAACUUCGUG